GUGCUGUUCACGACCGGUUUUUGAUGCAUGGUGGGGCGUAUGGUGGUCCAGCACAGUCAACAUGUGAAUGCAUGAAGGGUAGUAGUAUGUAUGUUGUUACAGGGUGGUUAACUUCGCCAGCGGCUCCCUUUCCCGGGGCAGUCCCUGCUCUCCCCUGCUAGAGGGGCGCCCUAAUCAUUCACCCCAUCCGACUUCAGAAUGUAUUCGUUGGGUUCGGCAACUCACCACCAGCAUCCAACCAAAUCUAGCGGAUCAACGGCGCCUCAACUUAGUUCCUGGUCAGCUCGCAAGUUGAUGUUAUCACAUCCUAUAUCGUCCAUAUGAUGGGGGGCCACCUUCCAUUUCAACACUCCUCAAACACCCGAGGAGCCGGCAGGCGGAUUUGAACCCGGGUCGGCCAGGUGCAGAAGUUAGGCCUUAACCUCUGCCAGCCGCCUGCCGUGUAUGAUUGGAUGGAUGGUGGUAUGUUGGUGGAUGUUGAUGGAUGGCGACCAUAGUGAACUUGUGGCUAUACGUGUUUGAGUCAGGCCGAUACAGCACAUGCUGGAUUUGUGCGUAUGUAACAGGCUUCGGAAUAAAU
rnacentral:lncRNA from 1 species